AAGAUCCUUAUUUCCAAUGAGUGAAAGCGCUAUGAAUAUAAUAUCCCUAACCUAAUUAAUUAGUAAAUUACAAGUAAUUAAAUAAUUAAGCAUGUUUUAGUGAGUAAAAUUAAGUAUAAGGCUUAAUGAAAUGAAUCUGAGUCACUUUGGAGUUAAAAAGUGUACUCAGUGAAAAUUAAGGAGUAUAAAUGGGUACUGGCAAAAGUGCCCAAAAUAUAAAAAUAAAGUUGUAAAUAUUCCUAGAAUAAUAUUCCAGACUUUUGGGUAAAGUUUGGUAAUUAAUGGAGUUGAAUAGAUAGACGAACCAAUACCCGCUUAAAGCCACUUAACAUAAGUUAAGUGACCAAAGCAACAAAAGAAACCCAAUUGUCCCUCCCAUUCCCGUCGCCAGAAAGAAGAAGAAGGAAGAGAAGAAGAGGGAGGAAAGGAAGAGAGGAAGAGAAACCCUAGGGGGAGCUAAUCUCAACCAUUUUGAGUGAUUCCAAAGCCUAAACCACUCCAAAUCUCCUCCUCUUUCAUAAUCCUUGCUUUGUUUUGAGUGGGGAGCAUUGUGGAGAGGGAUAUUGCUCCUCAAAAAUUUGGCCUUUUGGAGAAAUUUGGGGUUUUGAGUGCUUCAACCUCCAUUGAAGCUUGAGGAGCCAUCAAUCCUUGGUUGUGUGACCAUUGGUGGAUUGAGACAUUUGGACCAACCGUGAGUGAUCAACCAUUGGAGCAAGCUAUGGAGCUUGAUUAGCUCCAUUGGAUAGGUUUUGUUUGAGAAGUGGAGUAUUUUAAUUGAUUGACUGUGGAAACUGUUGGUGGUGAACAAAGGUCGACUGAAGCAUUGAGGUAAGGAUGCUGCAGGAGCCUCUGGUGGCAAGUGGCCAUAUCUGGAUUAUGCAUGAAAUGUGGCAUUUCUUUUGAGAUUGUACAUGUUGUUUUGUAGCUCACAUGUAUAGGAUUGUGAUUCAUAGACCAUUGAUAGAUGUAUGAAUUGUAUAUUGGAAUGGACUUAGCCUAUGCUCAUGCCUUUGGUCAUCUCUUUUGUUGAUGAGAGCCAAGGGAAUGAUCAUAGUGUUUUGUUAGCUAAGUUCCAUGAAUUGUAAUGAACAUGAUGUGUAAUUGAUGAGUACUUUGAGUUUAAUAUAUGUAUGUUCAUUAAGUAUUGGAUUGUUGAACUGGAAACUAAAUUAGGUACCUAGUGCUAAAUUGGGAAAUGUUGAGAAAACAAAUACAUCCUGUCCGUUUGACCAAUUUUCAUACCCAAUGUGAUGGAAUUGGACUUUGAUGUCUCUAGGGAAGUGGUAGACAUUCCUCUUAGCUUUCCAUAGAGACCAAAAUGGUGUAAUUUGAGUGAGUAUAGCUCAAAUUAUGAGUGGAAAACCAUAGGUAGGCUAAAUGACCUUGUUUUGGGUCACCCAGCCCUGUGGAUGGCGCCUGAGGCGCCAAAUUCACGCUUGGGGCGCCAAAUUACGAGAUCAGACAGUAGCAUCCACGCUUGGGGCGCCAGAUUCACGCUUGGGGCGCCAACUUUCUGUUUUCCCACGCUCUGAGCGUGGAUCUCACGCUGCGGGCGCGGGGGUUCUGGAGGUUUCGCACCCUUUUCUUAAAAAGUGCAUAACUUUGGCUACGGUGCUCCGAUUUGAGCGCGGUUUGAACCCACGCGUAGCUAAUGAAAAAUACUAUAACAUAGUAGAAGAUGGGAAUCAUAAAAGGAGUUUAGAAUUAAUUUGAUAAGUAAAGUGAUGAAGACAUUUCACGACGUAUUGUCAAGUAUAAUGGGAAUAUAAUCUUAAGUUUUGUCCCACUAUUCCGCGAAGUAUAUAUAGUUAUGAUCACGCACUUGGUUAUUUGAAUCCGGCUUGUAUAAAGAGGAAAAAUUUAUCCGGUUUUCUAAUUGAACCAAUGUGAUUGUAACUGCGCUUAAUGCCGUACGCAAUGAUAACAACCCGGUUCUAGAACGGGGUGUUACAGUGACAUUUUUGAAGACACCUCCUACGGGAACUUCACCAUAAAGAUGGUUAAAAGACAGGUCCAAAGCAUUCAACAAUCUUAGAUUUUCUAGUUCACGGGGGAUUGUGCUUGAGA